rnacentral:lncRNA from 10 species
GGGACCUGGUAGGAGGUAAUUGAAUCAUGGGGGCAGGUCUUUCCCUUGCUGUUCUCAUGAUAGUGAAUAAGUCUCAUGAGAUCUGAUGGUUUUAUAAGGGGGAGUUUCCCUGCACAAGCUGCCUUCUCCUGUCUGCCACCACGUGAGAUGUGCCUUUCACCUUCCACUAUGAUUGUGAGGCCUCACCAGCCAUGUGGAACUAGUUCAAGAUUUCAACAUUUUAAGAUAAUCUGAAAAAAAUUGGAAUGUGCCCCCAGCUGCCAAUACUCUCUCAACACUGUUUAUCAAAGGAACCAAUAUGGAAGGAAAAACAUUGCUUUGAAGGGAAGAUGGAUGGAUCCCCUAGUAAACUACAGCUUGAGGUGCAAUUUCCUAAAGUUCAAAUGCCUGAAAAAGGAAACGAAAGAAAGAAACUCAACUCUUGAGACAGCUUCAAUGCUAGCUUUGAUCUCAAUUAUAGAGUUAUUUAUGAAAAGUGCAUUUUUACAACUAAAAAUAAAUUAGGAUCAAAAGCUUCUAGAGGCUAUACUAUGGAGUGCUUAAUAAAAAGUUGAGUAAAGAGUAAUGAAUGGCUUUGUACUAUUAAUUUGAAAGAAUUACCUUCUCUUUUAAACAGCUGCCAAGAUAGUGAAGAUUGACAUGUCACAGGAAAUUAAAACAAAUGGUUUCUAGUCCUGUAUGCCUUGGUGGGUAAACAGUAGGAUAGAGCCCUUACCUGGGAAGCUGUGGGCUGGACUCUACCUCUAACUGUGUGCAACCAUUAAAGGAGCAACCUUCAGCAAGUUUAUUUAACUCUCUGGGCCUCAAAUUACCUACUCCUAAAGUGCACGAGAAGAACUAGUUCUUCUCUGAAAUUCUUCCUGUCUCCAAUGGCCUGUUCCUUAGUUCCUGUUAACUAAGCAUACUCACACUCUAAUAAAUACAUGUAAAAUCUUACCCCUUAUAGAAAUAGUUUUUUUAAAAAAAGAAUAAUCAGUUUUAAAUUUAAAUCAUAGGUCUAUUCACUCAAUGGACAUUGUUGGGAUUCAGUGUAGAAAAAGCACAAAGGAUGAACUUCCAGUCAACUUUCAGUAUUUGCAUAAACACGACACAAUUGUAGAUUAUCAAGAAAUAGUUUUUAUCAGACUAAAAUACUCUAAUGAAUGAUUUCAUAGUCUUUUGGCUGUUUAAUUAAAUUCAGUGAAUAAAUCAUUUCUUAUUCUCUAGGUAACAAUGAAAAAACAUCUCAGAAUAGUAUAGAACAGCAAAAGGAAUUGAAAGAUGGUGCUGAGGAUGAUAGAUGAUAGACAGACAGACAGACAGACAGACAGACAGAUAGAUAGAUAGAUAGAUAUUGAUAGAGAGAUAGAUAAGACAUAUAGAUAGAAUCCACUAUGUAGAAAAUGUCUCCUGUGGAUACUGGAAAGUAGCUACCUAUCUCAGGGAAAACAAUGGCAAACCCAUGAAUAAGCUGAUAGCUUUGACUAAUAGGAUAUCUUAGUUGCUGGGUUAAAAUAUGAGACUUGUGUUCAGAUUACAGUAUCUUUCAUUUUUAUAAGAGAACCUUUUUUUUUGAGAAAACAUAUGUCACGUUCACACAAUCUGGAAAUGAAUAUUCUUAUUCCUACCCCAAUCUCAUUUUCUUUUCUAGUUUUUUUUUUUUUUUUUUCCUGUUCUUUGCAGCUCACAGGGAUAAGGCAGGCAGAGUAGGAGGUAAAGGAAGAGUACUCAUGCCAAUAUGGCUCUUUGAGUAAUUACCCUGCAGAUGAGUUCCUCCAAGCACUAAAGGAGUGAGUCAGAUCCUCCCUUUGCCAUUCAGGUUCCCUGAAGUACGUCUGAAGGAAAAUAACAGGUCAUCCAGUCUUUUUCCAAUUUGGAGCUGUUGAAUUGCCACUGUUGUACUCCUUCCAUAUCUGAG